GUGCUCACUUUGGCAGCACAUACACUAAAAAUUGGAAUGAUACAGAGAAGAUUAGUAUGGCCCCUGAACAAGGAUGGUGUGGUAGUUUGAAUAGAUGGCCCCCAAUAUA
ensembl:snRNA U6 U6 spliceosomal RNA